UACAGAGGUCCCAAGCGUUGUUCGGAUUCACUGGGCGUAAAGGGUGCGUAGGUGGCAGGGUAAGUUUGAUGUGAAAUCUCCGAGCUUAACUCGGAAACUGCAUUGAAUACUAUCCUGCUCGAGGGUUGGAAGGGGGACUGGAAUUCUCGGUGUAGCAGUGAAAUGCGUAGAUAUCGAGAGGAACACCAGUGGCGAAGGCGGUUGCCUGGGGCUUUGCUGACGCUGAUGCGCGAAAGCGUGGGGAGCGAUCCGG
rnacentral:rRNA from 1 species